AAAACAAUACUUUUGUGCUUCUCUGGUUUUUUUUUUGUGAUAUGUUAUAUUUUAAUCAUAUAUAUAUAUUAUCAUAGAAGAAAAAGAGAAUUUGGAUUAUUUCAUAAUUCUAAUACUAAAAAAAAUUAAUUUCUUUAGUUAAAAUUUCUCACUGAAUAAAUAAGUUUUUACUUUGAUUGGUUCUAGAGGAGAGAAAGUUUAUAUGUAAUUUAUUAGAAAUAAUAUUUAUAUGUAUAUAUUUUUUUUUUUUACAAAGU
rnacentral:misc_RNA from 1 species